rnacentral:piRNA from 1 species
AACACCUGGAGAAUAGGUUGUCCU